CCUGGUCCACCAGCCGAGCCUGACGCUGGUGCACGCCACCCAGCCGGCCGACGCCGCCGCGCCUGACUUCAAACAACAAGUGGAGGAGCGCAACGCAGAGUGCUACCAGCAAUGCAGCACAGAGUUCGAGACGGCGGCCGGCUCGGCGGCCGCCUGCGAGCGAGGAUGCCGUCUGUUCGCGCUGGCCGAGGCCACCGAGCCCAAACUGGCCGCCGGAGAGCACAGGGACAAGUGCACCAAAGACUGUGAGACGGCCUACCCGAUACUGGUGGAGGCAGCACUAGUGCC